CCUACGGGAGGCUGCAGUGAGGAAUAUUGGUCAAUGGACGAGAGUCUGAACCAGCCAAGUAGCGUGAAGGAUGACUGCCCUAUGGGUUGUAAACUUCUUUUAUAUGGGAAUAAAACGUUCCACGUGUGGGAUUUUGUAUGUACCAUAUGAAUAAGGAUCGGCUAACUCCGUGCCAGCAGCCGCGGUAAUACGGAGGAUCCGAGCGUUAUCCGGAUUUAUUGGGUUUAAAGGGAGCGUAGGUGGAUUGUUAAGUCAGUUGUGAAAGUUUGCGGCUCAACCGUAAAAUUGCAGUUGAAACUGGCAGUCUUGAGUGCAGUAGAGGUGGGCGGAAGUCGUGGUGUAGCGGUGAAAUGCUUAGAUAUCACGAAGAACUCCGAUUGCGAAGGCAGUUCACUGGACUGCAACUGACACUGAGGCUCGAAAGUGUGGGUAUCAAACAGGAUUAGAUACCCGGGUAGUC
rnacentral:rRNA from 1 species